UGGAGCUGAAAUCAGUCGAAGAUACCAGCUGGCUGCAACUGUUUAUUAAAAACACAGCACUGUGCAAACACGAAAGUGGACGUAUACGGUGUGACGCCUGCCCGGUGCCGGAAGGUUAAUUGAUGGGGUUAUCCUCGCGGAGAAGCUCUUGAUCGAAGCCCCGGUAAACGGCGGCCGUAACUAUAACGGUCCUAAGGUAGCGAAAUUCCUUGUCGGGUAAGUUCCGACCUGCACGAAUGGCGUAAUGAUGGCCAGGCUGUCUCCACCCGAGACUCAGUGAAAUUGAACUCGCUGUGAAGAUGCAGUGUACCCGCGGCAAGACGGAAAGACCCCGUGAACCUUUACUAUAGCUUGACACUGAACACUGGUCCUUGAUGUGUAGGAUAGGUGGGAGGCUUUGAAGUGUGGACGCCAGUCUGCAUGGAGCCAUCCUUGAAAUACCACCCUUUAAUGGCUGGUGUUCUAACGUGGGCCCGUAAUCCGGGUUGCGGACAGUGUCUGGUGGGUAGUUUGACUGGGGCGGUCUCCUCCUAAAGAGUAACGGAGGAGCACGAAGGUCAGCUAAUCCUGGUCGGACAUCAGGAGGUUAGUGCAAUGGCAUAAGCUGGCUUGACUGCGAGCGUGACGGCGCGAGCAGGUGCGAAAGCAGGUCAUAGUGAUCCGGUGGUUCUGAAUGGAAGGGCCAUCGCUCAACGGAUAAAAGGUACUCCGGGGAUAACAGGCUGAUACCGCCCAAGAGUUCAUAUCGACGGCGGUGUUUGGCACCUCGAUGUCGGCUCAUCACAUCCUGGGGCUGAAGUAGGUCCCAAGGGUAUGGCUGUUCGCCAUUUAAAGUGGUACGCGAGCUGGGUUUAGAACGUCGUGAGACAGUUCGGUCCCUAUCUGCCGUGGGCGCUGGAGAAUUGAGGGGGGCUGCUCCUAGUACGAGAGGACCGGAGUGGACGCAUCACUGGUGUUCGGGUUGUCAUGCCAAUGGCAUUGCCCGGUAGCUAAAUGCGGAAGAGAUAAGUGCUGAAAGCAUCUAAGCACGAAACUUGCCCCGAGAUGAGUUCUCCCUGACUCCUUGAGAGUCCUGAAGGAACGUUGAAGACGACGACGUUGAUAGGCCGGGUGUGUAAGCGCAGCGAUGCGUUGAGCUAACCGGUACUAAUGAACCGUGAGGCUUAACCUU
rnacentral:rRNA from 1 species